rnacentral:rRNA from 1 species
AUAUUGCACAAUGGGGGAAACCCUGAUGCAGCAACGCCGCGUGAGUGAUGACGGCCUUCGGGUUGUAAAGCUCUGUCUUCAGGGACGAUAAUGACGGUACCUGAGGAGGAAGCCACGGAUAACUACGUGCCAGCAGCCGCGGUAAUACGUAGGUGGCAAGCGUUGUCCGGAUUUACUGGGCGUAAAGGGAGCGUAGGCGGACUUUUAAGUGAGAUGUGAAAUACCCGGGCUCAACCUGGGUGCUGCAUUUCAAACUGGAAGUCUAGAGUGCAGGAGAGGAGGGUGGAAUUCCUAGUGUAGCGGUGAAAUGCGUAGAGAUUAGGAAGAACACCAGUGGCGAAGGCGACUCUCUGGACUGUAACUGACGCUGAGGCUCGAAAGCGUGGGGAGCAAACA